rnacentral:rRNA from 1 species
AUUAAACGCUGGCGGCAUGCCUUACACAUGCAAGUCGAACGGCAGCACGGGGGCAACCCUGGUGGCGAGUGGCGGACGGGUGAGUAAAGCAUCGGAACGUAUCCUGGAGUGGGGGAUAACGUAGCGAAAGUUACGCUAAUACCGCAUAUUCUGUGAGCAGGAAAGCAGGGGAUCGCAAGACCUUGCGUUCGAGGAGCGGCCGAUGUCGGAUUAGCUAGUUGGUGGGGUAAAGGCCUACCAAGGCGACGAUCCGUAGCGGGUCUGAGAGGAUGAUCCGCCACACUGGGACUGAGACACGGCCCAGACUCCUACGGGAGGCAGCAGUGGGGAAUUUUGGACAAUGGGCGCAAGCCUGAUCCAGCCAUGCCGCGUGAGUGAAGAAGGCCUUGGUUGUAAACCUCUGUCACUGGG